rnacentral:lncRNA from 1 species
UUUACCAAUGCACCCAGUUCUCCUCAUAUUUGAUUCUUUUUUUGGUAUCAUUGGUUCCACGUACGUCUUUUGGGCGAGCUUUCUUCACUGUCAUCAAAACCAACGCUCAAACCGAAGCUUUCCGAGCAGUUGUUUAUUUCUCACUUUAGCUGCUGUCGUUUUCCUCUUCCGAAUUAAGCGAGUGAAAAACAAGGGGAUCAGAAGAACAAACAAUAAGAAUGAG